rnacentral:rRNA from 1 species
AACGAACGCUGGCGGCAUGCCUAACACAUGCAAGUCGAACGAGACCUUCGGGUCUAGUGGCUCACGGGUGCGUAACGCGUGGGAAUCUGACCUUGGGUCCGGAACAACAGUUAGAAAUGACUGCUAAUACCGGAUGAUGACUUCGAUCCCAAGAUUUAUCGCCCAGGGAUGAGCCCGCGUCGGAUUAGCUAGGUGGUGAGGUAACGGCUCACCAAGGCGACGAUCCGUAGAGGGUCUGAGAGGAUGAACGGCCACACUGGGACUGAGACACGGUCCAGACUCCUACGGGAGGCAGCAGUGGGGAAUAUUGGACAAUGGGCGAAAGCCUGAUCCAGCAAUGCCGCGUGAGUGAUGAAGGCCUUAGGGUUGUAAAGCUCUUUUACCCGGGAUGAUAAUGACAGUACCGGGAGAAUAAGCCCCGGCUAACUCCGUGCCAGCCGCCGCCGUAA